GUAUGGUAUUGUUCCUUAGCUGGGUGAAUUCUUGAGGAGAAGGUUUGGAGCUUAUUCUAUAACGCUGCUCAAAUGCAAAAUAGGCGGAUUAAUGCACAUGUACAUGUAGCAGAAUUUAGUACCACACUUAUUUUUCUCACGAUAUUUUUAUUAACUGACGAACUCAAGCCUUGAACCUGUCUCUCCCAUCUACGGUUAAGAUUUACGUAUUCUAGCCACUGGGCCACCUCGGCUGUUGUAUUCAUUAUAAUAUUUAUAACGUACUUAUUUGAUAUAACACGUGUCUAUGAAUAAUAAAUGUAAUAUUUCAACAUUACAGACAUAAAGGCAUAGAUAAUUAGUUUCAAUCGUAGACUCCGAAAAAUAAACGAUUAUAUAUAUUGUACCAAAUAUACUUAGAAAAAGUUUUUAAGGAUACAUUUUAGCGGUUGUAUUAUCUAGAGUAUUUUUAUUAAUAAUCUAUAAUUUAAAUUUUAUUUAUAUAGCGGUAGGGGAACAAGGAUCAAACACCUCGUUUACUUGAUGCACUAUAUCCGUCUAGCCUUUUAUUUUCAGGCCAAUACGAUAAGAAAUAUACUCGUAGAAUAUAAAAUUAUCAUGAUUAAUCCUGCACAUAUUUUUAGCCUUCUGGUUGGCUAAUUGAAUCAAAAUUUAUAUUAAAAAAUUCAGAUCAUUGAAAAAACCAUAGAAUUUUUUUACAUUUACUUACCUCGUCAAAAUCUUCGUCGAAACCAACAGUCUCCACUGACUUCAAGCUUUCUACGUCGUCUCGCUUGAGUUUGCGCCGGGCCUCGCUCGGUCCCGCUAACCACAAAAAUGCCACCAAGAGUGCACACAGCCGGAUGCCAAUCAUUGUACAGCCGAUGAAGUUAUCUAUUCAAAUUAUAUCAUUAACGAUCAAAAUAUAAUUUAAGAUUGGUUAAUUAAUAUGAUAAUUUAAAAUAAUGUAUGUAUUUAAAUCUAGAUUCGUAAAAAGCCAUUGGAUUCAACAUUGCGACCUGACAAGGAAUCGAGAAUCACUACAGCCGUUUAUUACGCGAAGCGAUUGAAAUAUUUUUAAUAAGAAAAUUAAUCGCGACGCUGAAGGUUAUUUGACAACAAUGUGGAACUCGGUAGUGCGCUAGUGCGGCCAUAUUCUGAGACGUAAGGUUAUGAAUACACCAAUAAACCAGAAAAGGCUCUCUUACAAAGAUGUACAAGCAGUUCCUCAGUUGAACUGAGGUCGGGUCUGCUUGUCUUGCUCUGUAGAAAGUUCAGACAACAAAAAAAGAAGAAGAAGUUAAACCCGGUACGUAAUAUUAUUAAAUUAAAGUUGCCCAAUGAAAGUUCGCAAGAUCUGAUGGCGUGCUCGCAGUAUUGUAAUAGAAAUAAAGACGAUAUAAAUGUGUCUGAGGUAGACGAUCAAAACUUUUGCAGUUGACGUUAAAAUGUCCGCCGAGCUCACAGAGCAUCGUGGUUUAGUACGAAUAUAAAAUAGAGAACAUAAUUGCUUUGGCCAUUGUUGAUCAAAUUAAUAAUAUUAUGGAAUUAAAA